rnacentral:rRNA from 1 species
AGAGUUUGAUCAUGGCUCAGAGCGAACGCUGGCGGCAGGCCUAACACAUGCAAGUCGAACGCAUCCUUCGGGGUGAGUGGCGGACGGGUGAGUAACACGUGGGAACGUGCCCUUUGGUUCGGAAUAACUCAGGGAAACUUGAGCUAAUACCGGAUAAGCUACGGGGAAAGAUUUAUCGCCAUUGGAGCGGCCCGCGUCUG